GAUGAACGCUGGCGGCGUGCCUAAUACAUGCAAGUCGAGCGAACGGACGAGAAGCUUGCUUUUCUGAUGUUAGCGGCGGACGGGUGAGUAACACGUGGAUGACCUACCUAUAAGACUGGGAUAACUUCGGGAAACCGGAGCUAAUACCGGAUAAUAUUUUGAACCGCAUGGUUCAAAAGUGAAAGACGGUCUUGCUGUCACUUAUAGAUGGAUCCGCGCUGCAUUAGCUAGUUGGUAAGUUAACGGCUUACCAAGGCAACGAUGCAUAGCCGACCUGAGAGAGUGAUCGGCCACACUGGAGCUGAGACACGGUCCAGACUCCUACGGGAGGCAGCAGUAGGGAAUCUUCCGCAAUGGGCGAAAGCCUGACGGAGCAACGCCGCGUGAGUGAUGAAGGUCUUCGGAGCGUAAAACUCUGUUAUUAGGGAAGAACAUAUGUGUAAGUAACUGUGCACAUCUUGACGGUACCUAAUCAGAAAGCCACGGCUAACUACGUG
rnacentral:rRNA from 1 species